UUGUCUCUCACUCUCUCCUGCCUCAAUUAACAACACACUUGUGUUUGGGAUACAGCAGGCAGCACAGGGGUUGCAGAGACUCACUGUCCAGAGCUUGGCUUGGGGAAACUUGACUCUUGCCUCCAUGUCCUGAUCUUCAGCCAACGUGUGCAUGCCCCAUAAGGCUCACCUUAACACCAACCUUAUCUUUGAGUCUUUUCUUUCUUCUCCAGAUGUGUUUUAUGUGAGAUGCAAAAUGUCCCUCAUGUGUGUUUGAACACAUGGUUGCUGAGUGAUAGUCCUCAUUUUGAGGGUCGUGGACCUGUUAAGAGGUGGGUUGCUAGGAGAGCAGGCCUUGGGGUUUUUAACCAGCCUUUCUCCCUGUCUCCCUGCUUCCCAAAGCACCCAAAAGUGAGCAACAGCUUUGCUUCCUGUGGCCAUAGCUGAGAGCUACUCCCACUGCCAGCCCUUUCCUGCCAUGGUGGACUUUCCCCCAAUUAUGAGUCAGAUGCUGAUACCUAGGAAGCAUCUUGUUCCCCAAGAUGCAUUUCAAUAUGAAUGCUGCACGACUCUGAGAAUAUCUUUCUUGAGAAUAAGUAAAAAUAGAAGCAAAGUAGUAGGCAGUAUUGAAGAAAAGAAGGAGGAGGAGGAGGAGGAGGAGAAGGAGAA
rnacentral:lncRNA from 1 species